rnacentral:rRNA from 1 species
GGGGAAUUUUCCGCAAUGGGCGAAAGCCUGACGGAGCAAGACCGCGUGAGGGAGGAAGGCUCUUGGGUUGUAAACCUCUUUUGUCAGGGAAGAAAAAAAUGACGGUACCUGACGAAUCAGCCUCGGCUAACUCCGUGCCAGCAGCCGCGGUAAUACGGAGGAGGCAAGCGUUAUCCGGAAUUAUUGGGCGUAAAGCGUCCGCAGGUGGCUCUUCAAGUCUGCUGUCAAAUCCAGUAGCUCAACUACUGUCAGGCAGUGGAAACUGAAAAGCUAGAGAGUCGUAGGGGUAGAGGGAAUUCCCGGUGUAGCGGUGAAAUGCGUAGAGAUCGGGAAGAACAUCGGUGGCGAAGGCGCUCUACUGGACGACAUCUGACACUCAGGGACGAAAGCUAGGGGAGCGAAUGGGAUUAGAUACCCCAGUAGUCCUAGCUGUAAACGAUGGAUACUAGGUGUAGCUUGUAUCGACCCGAGCUGUGCCGAAGCUAACGCGUUAAGUAUCCCGCCUGGGGAGUACGCACGCAAGUGUGAAACUCAAAGGAAUUGACGGGGGCCCGCACAAGCGGUGGAGUAUGUGGUUUAAUUCGAUGCAACGCGAAGAACCUUACCAGGGCUUGACAUGUCGCGAAUCUUGAUGAAAGUUAAGAGUGCCUUCGGGAGCGCGAACACAGGUGGUGCAUGGCUGUCGUCAGCUCGUGUCGUGAGAUGUUGGGUUAAGUCCCGCAACGAGCGCAACCCUCGUUUUUAGUUGCCAAUAUUAAGUUAGGCACUCUAGAGAGACUGCCGGUGACAAACCGGAGGAAGGUGGGGAUGACGUCAAGUCAGCAUGCCCCUUACGUCCUGGGCUACACACGUACUACAAUGGGGGGGACAGAGGGUCGCUAGCUCGCGAGAGUCUGCUAAUCCCAAAAACCUCUCCUCAGUUCAGAUUGCAGGCUGCAACUCGCCUGCAUGAAGGAGGAAUCGCUAGUAAUCGCCGGUCAGCAUACGGCGGUGAAUCCGUUCCCGGGCCUUGUACACACCGCCCGUCACACCAUGGAAGCUGGCCACGCCCGAAGUCGUUACCCUAACCCGCAAGGGAGGGGGAUGCCGAAGGCAGGGUUGGUGACUGGGGUGAAGUCGUAACAAGGUAGCCGUACCGGAAGGUGUGGCUGGAUCACCUCCUUUUAGGGAGACCUAACCAAUUGAAGUCCGAAAUAAUUCUAAAUUAGGACUCAAAUCAGGUAAUCCUAGGUCGUGCGAGGGAAAUAAUUAGAAGCUUUCAAACUUAAGUUCGGUUCGGUUUUGGGCUAUUAGCUCAGGUGGUUAGAGCGCACCCCUGAUAAGGGUGAGGUCCCUGGUUCGAGUCCAGGAUGGCCCACCUAAACCAAUAAUCAAGUGUCAAGUCAGAACUUGGAAAUAAUCAAUUAUUUCAAGUUUCAUUCUUGAGCCUUUUGGAUGGGGGUAUAGCUCAGUUGGUAGAGCGCUGCCUUUGCAAGGCAGAUGUCAGCGGUUCGAGUCCGCUUACCUCCAUGAGGUCAAGCAGCCUCAAGAGGCAAGACCCAAAAACCACUGAUUAAAAUAAUCGAACUAAUCUCUCUUGAUAUUUGAGGCGAGAAGUUAGCACCUGAACUUGAAUUAAAAGACAAGUCAGACUGCUGAACGGACUCGUUCAGUCAGAACCUUGAAAACUGCAUAGCAAUAGGAAAAAAACCAAGUCGGUAAGUCAGGCUUACGCCCAAGGGCGCUAGCCAUCUUAUUUAGACUGAGUAACAAAGAAAAAGUUGGUCAAGCUACAAAGAGCUAACGGUGGAUACCUAGGCACACAGAG